UUGUGCGACAUAUACUUCUCCAAGAAAUCUUAGAGAACUGAGUCCAUGACAAAGGGAGAAGAUUCAGUUGUUCUAAUAUCCAUAUAACCUAUCUACUAAUAAUGAGCAGAUAAUUCAUCUAAAAUGUGGUGCAAUCCAUACCACAAGACUCAAUAAGGCCCAAACCACAAAUCCUAUCCUUGCAAAAAGUUAGGAACUCAUGUGCAUUCUCUGUAGGAGAACCAUUAAAUUUCAACAGAGCU
rnacentral:lncRNA from 1 species